rnacentral:Y_RNA from 1 species
UGCUGGUCCGAGGGUAGUGGGUUAUCAGAACUUAUUAACAUCAGUGUCACUAACAUUGGCAUACGACCCCCACCCCUGUCCUCCCCUGCUAAAUUUGACUGGCUUUAA